AACCUUUUCACUCCUUAUCCCCUCCAUUUCUUCAAUCCCCAACCAUGUUCUCUGCUUCAACAAAGCUACUCAGUCUCUCUUUCACCAAAAAACCCUAAUCCCCAAAUCCCAGUUUCACCCAAAAUUCAAUAUAAUAAGCCAUUUAUUCGAUGCGAUAUAACAAGGUCUAAAUGAACAUAUGCCAAUCGGAGAAAAGGAAGCUUAAAUCAAUAUAACAUACUAAACCAUUUAUCCGAGGUCCGUUUCGAGGUGUCUGAAUGGUGGUAAUUCGGUUGUUGUUGUUUCUGGUGAUGGUGAUAGUGUGAAUUUGUUCUAAGAGGCGUGGGAGGUCUGUGUCUAAGAGAAAUGAUGGUGAUGAUGCUGGUAGUGCAGUUAGGGUUGUUUCGGAUAGUGAUUGAGGAAAAGGCGGUCUAUUUCGGUUGUUCAGCAUCAGAUUAGUGGCUCUAGGGUAUAAUUUGAUACUUAAUUAGUUAAUUGUAUUAUGUUGCUGUGUUUAUAGAGUGUUUUCAUGAAGUGUUAGUGAAAUUAAGUGUGUUUGUUUAGUGCUUUUGGUUUAUUGAUUAAGAAUAAUGCUAAGUUUAUAAGAGAAUUUCACUACUACAUUACCAAAUCAAUAAAACCAUUAAAGAGGUUUCAAUUUCACAACACACUAAUAACCUACACCUAUAGUACACACACAAAAUGAAUCAAAAAACAUGGUUCUAUGUAGCUAGUGAUAGUAAGAAAGCUUAUACACAAAUCAUUUCCACAUCUUGUGCUUUCUAAACAUGCCCCCCUUGUGCCUUCCAAACAUCCCAUGCUUCCAUCUGUUCCCAAACUUUCCAUCUGUUCCCAAACGUUUUAUGUUUUAUCUCUUAACGGGUCAAAUGGAUAAAUUUAAAAAAAAAAUAGCUGAAAUGGAACUGGUUAAACGAGUAGGCUCUAUAAAAAAAUAGUUAAAAUGAUGCGGGUCAAAUGAUACAGGGAAAUAGGUACUUUUAGCUUGACCAAGUUGAUGCGUUUUAUGUUUUAUCUCUUAACGGGUCAAAUGGAUAAAUUUUAAAAAAAAUUAGCUGAAAUGGAACUGGUUAAACGAGUAGGCUCUAUAAAAAAUAGUUAAAAUGAUGCGGGUUAAAUGAUACAGGGAAAUAAGUACUUUUAGCUUGACCAAGUUGAUGCGUUUUAUGUUUUAUCUCUUAAUGGGUCAAAUUGAUAAUUUAAAAAAAAUAGCUGAAUUGGAACUGGUUAAACGAGUAGGCUCUAUAAAAACAGUUAAAAUGAUGCGGGUCAAACAAAUCUAAAGUUGUGAAAGUUUUUUAUAACACACAUCACCUUGUAGUUUGUUUAUAGAAGGUUAUUAUUAUUAUUACUAUGGUAUAGGUUUGUAAUAACAUCUAUUUACGAUGAGCGGUAUUCUGGGUCAAAUGGGUCAACAAAUGGGUAAUAUAUUAUAAAUUAGCUGAAAAUGAAAUGGCUAGCCGAGUGGCAGGGGAUUCAUGUGGCUGGAGGUGGGAAUGGAAGAAGGCGGCUUUGGAUGGGAAUGAGUCUAGGGAGCUGCUGCAGUUUGUGUACGUAGUGGGGGUUUUGAGGGUCACAUCGGGUCGAGAUAGAUGGGUAAAGGUGAGCAUAAGUAGGUCCGACCCGACUAGAAUCCGAUAACCAAACCGAAUAGUACCCGAAACCGACCCUAAUAGAGUAAUUCGGGUGUAAAAAAAGCUCUGCAUUUGCCCAUAAAUUGCUCAAAUCUGAUAUCAUACUGCAUUCUCAGUUAUGGUUUCGUUGAAUCCGUAUGCUUUCGGAAAGAUUUCGAUCUCUACGAUCUUCUAGGCGUCGAUAGUUCUUCCGAUCAUUCGGCGAUUAAACACGCGUACCGGUUUCUGCAGAAGAAAUGCCAUCCGGAUAUAGCUGGUUUGGUUGGACACGAUAUGGCUAUUGUUCUCAAUGAAGCUUUUGCUGUUUUAUCUGAUCCUCUUUCACGUUUCUUGUAUGAUAAGAUCAAGAGGAAGAACGUCGAUGGAUGGCUCAAGAAGUACGCAGUUACGUUGAAGCAGUUCUCAACAGCCUUGCUGCCAAUGUCCAAAGGUGUAUUUAAAUUAUCCUAUCAUAACCCAUUAUGUUUUUCUUAACUUUCUUUUUAUAUUUUUUCUUGUUAUGCGGGCAGUUGUUCAUUGCCAAAUAGAAAAGGCUAAAGAAGAUAGCUCAAUAAACUAGUUUUGUAAGUUUAGCUGCUAUAUCUCGUCCUCCUUGUCUUGUAUAGUAUUAGUAGAGAAUCUAUCAGUUGGAAUACUAGCAGGAAUGGUCAAUCUAAUGGUGCCAUUGCAUUGAUGGAAGUAUUCAAAUACCAUCGGUUGAUUAAUGUCCUGGUGGUUGCUCAAAAUCCCUACAUUUUGAUGCAUAUUUUUGAAGAUGGUGCUAAACAGGUUUAAUCUGAUUGGGAAGAUCUUGUGGACCGAUAACGGAGCCCCCUUCAUAUAUAGGAAGUAUUUAAAAAACUCAGUUUUCAAUGGAAAAGCAAUAUAUAUACCAGAUCUAGAAAUUUAAUAAGGUAGGGGUAAUAUGGGAAUUUUUUGAAAUGAAAACCAACUAGCAAAUUGUUGGAUUUUAUUUGAUGAGUUAUAAGUGGGGCUAGCUCACUUGGUAGAGGCUCUUGCCUCUUAGUGGGAGGUCUUAGGUUCAAUCUCAAGCAAGGGUGAGUUAUUUGUACAUUCAUCUGACAUAUUUGUAACAUGUGUUACACCAAAACUUGUUUAUUUUUUUUAAAAUAUCUACUCGGCGCUUUUUUGAUUUUUUUUUGCCCAAAACCCUUAAAAACAUGUAUAUAACAUGUGUAAAUUUUUUCAAGAAAAAAAAACAUCGGGAGCUUUGAGUUUCCCGGGUUUUCUAAAUUAAAGUGGGUUUCUAUAGAUACUUACAUUAUAUAUAUAUAUAUAUAUAUAUUAUAUAGAUGACAAUGGAUAAUAGUAGAUCAUAUAUUGUCUUAAUGGACAAUAUUGGGUGUUGAUGGAUCAUAGUGGAUAAUAGUAGUUCAUACAUGUCUUAAUGAACCAUAUUGGGCCUUAAUGAAUCAGAAUGGACAAUAAUAUAUCAUAUAUGUCCUAAUGAACCAUAUUGGGCCUUAUCGGAUGACAAUGGACAAUAGUAGAUCAUAUACGUCUUAAUAGACCAAAUUAGGCUUUAAUGGAUCAUAAUAGACGAUAGUAGAUCAUAUAUGUCUUAAUGGACCAUGUUGCGCCAUAAUUGAUCACAAUGGACAACAUUAGAUCAUAUAUGAUUAACGGAAUAUUUUGGGCCUUAAUGGAUCAUAAUGAACAAAAGUAGAUCAUAAUUGUCUUAAUGGACCAUAUUGGGCCUUAAUGGAUAACAAUGGACAAUAAUAUAUCAUAUAGGUUUUAAUGGACCAUAUUCGGCCUUAUUAGAUGACAAUGGACAAUAGAAGAUUCUAUACGUCUUAAUAGACCAUAUCAGGCUUUAAUGGAUCAUAAUAGACGAUAGUAGAUCAUAUAUGUCUUAAUGGACCAUAUUGGGCCUUAAUGAAUAACGAUGGACAUUGCUAGAUCACAUAUGUCUUAUUGGAUCACAAUGAAUAAUAGUAUAUCUUAUAUGUCUUAAUGGACCAUAUUGAGCCUUAAUGAAUCACGAUGGACAAUAGUAUAUCAAAUAUGUAAUAAUAGACCGUACUGGGCCUUAAUUGACCAUGAUGGACAACAUUAUAUCAUAUAUGUCUCAACAAAACAUAUUGGGCCAUAAUGGAUCACGAUAGACAAUGGUAGAUCAUAUAUGUCUUAAUGGACCAUAUUGGGCCUUAAUGGGUUAUGAUGGAUAAUAGUAGAUCAUGUACGUCUUAAUAGACUAUAUCAGGCCUUAAUGGAUCAUAAUAGACGAUAGUGAUCAUAUAUUGACUUAAUGGACCGAUCGUCGACACAAGGUGAUUAAGAAAUUAGGGGUCCGUCACGACAGUCAUUGGGCUACUCACUGUCUUCGGGCAAUUAGGUAUGGUAGCAGUUUCUGGUAUUCUUUUAUUUUACUAGAUUAUUACUUUUUAUUUUUUAUACUUGAUUAGUUUAUUAGUUAUAGCAUUUAUACAUAUGUAUUUUAUCAUAUAAACGCGUAUUUUCUAAAACUCAAAGUAAAUGUCUAUAUUGAGGAGAUCUAUUAAUUACCAACUAAAUUAAUAAUAAAAUAAUGAAUAAAUUAAUAAUAAAAUAAUGAAUAAGUAUAAGAAGAUAAAAUUCUUCGUAAAAAGGUAAAUACAUGAUACUAGCGAAUGUAAAAAAGAAAUAUUACGACUUUACGAUUAAAAUUUUCUAGUUUAUAUAUUACCUAUAACAACAGAAGACAUGGCAGGGAAUAAUGUUUCUCUGUCAUUGGAGGAAAUGGGCGGCCAACUGCUUGCGUGGUACUUUCCUAUUAGUCAAGCCAAAUUACGAUUUUGUCCUCUUUAAAUUACAGGUUUGCCAUUGGUUUUGUUUUUCCCAUCCCAGCCAAAUUACGAUUUUGUCCUCGGCCAGUAUUACAGUUUUGCCAUCGUCUAUGUUGUUUCCCCUGUCAAAUUACGAUUUUGCCAUAAUGUAAAAUUAUAGUUAUGCCAUCGUUUUAGUUUUUUUUUUUACAAAGUAGUGUUUUGUUUUAAUUGGUUGACUCAGUGUUGUUUUUAUUCAUGCCAGCCGGCUGUCUGACACACACUCAUUAAAAUACAAUUUCCCCCAGUUAAAAAUUAUAGUGUUUCAUCAUUUUGGAUGGUUGACUCGAUGUAAUUUUUUUGAGAUCAUGUAAUGAGUAGUAUGUACAAGUAAUCAAAACACAGACCUACAUGUUAUGAGAGGAAAGUUUUCGGUUUAAUGCCUGCAACGCGGGCAGGAUAAAAACUAGUUAAUUUACUAAACAAAGUUGUGUAAUUUCAAGUUACUUUUAUAACUUUAUAUUUUCCUCCUAAAAUUUUCACCCCUAAAAAUUUCCCUCCCAACCUAAUCUGGCUCCCAUUUUGAACUCCUCCCAAAAAAAUUCUAAUAAACAGCAAAACUCUAGACAAAUAAAUCAAAACCCUAGCUUCCAAUUUUACACCAAUGGUUUCCAACUCUUUGAUCACCAUCGUUCCUCUGCCCCUCCAUCUCCUAUCUCACUUUUGUCAGAUUAUACAACGAAAUCCCUAAAUACGGCAAAGGAAGAAUCAAUGGAGUCUGUGACGGAGGCAAUGAGAUCUGCUUCGGUAAAUUAUACAACCCAUGAACGUUCGUCGUUUGUUGUGGUGUGUUUGCGUUCAAGUUCGGUCAAGUUAACACAACACUUACUCUGUGAUCUCUCUUUUGUCCAACUUUUUGGGCUCACAUGUCAUCUAUCGGUCGAAUUAAUGGAGUUCGUGACAGAGGCAUGAGUGUAACGAUCUUUAGGUAAUUACGCUUCAUCGUCUUGUUGUUUUCAAGAGUUACUUCGAUUAACCUGAUUUUGCAACGAUUGCAGCGAGUAUAAUUAGAUCAUUAACUUGAAUUUCUAUUGUAUUGUUGUAUAAGAGGGUUUAUAGAAACUACUAUCAGGAGAAGGCUGUUGAAUAUGCCAGAGCUCUUAAUGCUGCUAAAUUACAUAAGGCCAUAGUUUAUAGGAUAUAGUUAAUUAAUUUGUGUUUAAAUCUUAUGUUGUAGUUUGAGUGUGAAUUAUUUUUUUUUUGUAUAUUGAUGUUUGUGGUUGCAAGCUAGAUUUGCGUGAUGAACACUAUCUUGUUAACCUUUUGAGUCUAGAGCUGGUGAUGGCUUCAAUAAUGCAACAGGGAGAUUGAAACUUGUAUUGAGUGUUCUGCAGCUAAUCUUGUACAGGAGCUGGCUCAAAUGAGGCAUCGUCUUAGAGGGCUAACGUGAUCCGCAAGCACAUGCAAGAGACAUAUAUGCCACAACAAGCCUGGUGGGAUUUUGGUAUAAUCGAGACCCAAAGAAACAUCUGAAGAACAUGGUUCUUGGUCUCCCUUGACUCCCAGCUAACGGGGCACCAGAAAACACAUGUGUUUGCCCAGCAAUAUUGUGGAGUGGUGUUAGGCCUUCUAGAUCUGGUUCUGUAUUUGCAAUACAACCUUGGAGUGGUGUUACGACUGCAAUGGUUUAAACAAUUCCAAAGUUGUCACCGUAGGUACACUAAUUCUUGGCAUGCUUACAAGUGUUUAAUUCUUUUUAUAUGCUGCUCUACGUGCUGGUUCUUCGACAUCAUUCCUAUCCCCUCUAUCUUAUCCGAGAGAAGGUGAGCGAUCACCAUUUCUAGAAGCGGAGGAACUGGAAUCAGGCAAAGGCAAGAAACAAGUGGAAGCAUAACCAGUGAGUUAUUCGUACACGUUUUUUCAUAUGAUAUUUACAUUGGCGAGCAUGUAUUCGGACAUGCUUUUAUUGGGAUUGAGUAGUUCAGAAAGCCCGGAUCUCAUUGAUGUUGGUUGGCUGGUCAUUGAUUGAAUUGUUCACAACUUGAAUCUGGUGGCUGGUUAUUGAUUUUGCAAUCAAAUCUUGGAGCAUUCCACAACGACAAACCGACUUGAUAUAAAUUUGUAGCACUUUCAAGUGUAAAAGAAAUGAGUAUAUUGAUUUGAAGACACAACCUAGAAUUAGUUCUUAGUUUAUGUCUAGAGGCAUUCCCUUUGCAACUUUGGUAGAUAGGUUUUGAUUAGAAGUUUGUCUUUAAAUAGUAUUUUGAAAACUUAUGUAUGGAUUUUGGUUUAUUAUUGUUAAUAUCAUUUGGUUUUAAGGUUUUCUCA